rnacentral:rRNA from 1 species
UCUCGCGUCAGGAUAUGCCUAGGUGGGAUUAGCUAGUUGGUGAGGUAAGGGCUCACCAAGGCGACGAUCCCUAGCUGGUCUGAGAGGAUGAUCAGCCACACUGGAACUGAGACACGGUCCAGACUCCUACGGGAGGCAGCAGUGGGGAAUAUUGCACAAUGGGCGCAAGCCUGAUGCAGCCAUGCCGCGUGUGUGAAGAAGGCCUUCGGGUUGUAAAGCACUUUCAGUCGUGAGGAAGGUAGUGUAGUUAAUAGCUGCAUUAUUUGACGUUAGCGACAGAAGAAGCACCGGCUAACUCCGUGCCAGCAGCCGCGGUAAUACGGAGGGUGCGAGCGUUAAUCGGAAUUACUGGGCGUAAAGCGCAUGCAGGUGGUUUGUUAAGUCAGAUGUGAAAGCCCGGGGCUCAACCUCGGAAUUGCAUUUGAAACUGGCAGACUAGAGUACUGUAGAGGGGGGUAGAAUUUCAGGUGUAGCGGUGAAAUGCGUAGAGAUCUGAAGGAAUACCGGUGGCGAAGGCGGCCCCCUGGACAGAUACUGACACUCAGAUGCGAAAGCGUGGGGAGCAAACAGGAUUAGAUACCCUGGUAGUCCACGCCGUAAACGAUGUCUACUUGGAGGUUGUGGCCUUGAGCCGUGGCUUUCGGAGCUAACGCGUUAAGUAGACCGCCUGGGGAGUACGGUCGCAAGAUUAAAACUCAAAUGAAUUGACGGGGGCCCGCACAAGCGGUGGAGCAUGUGGUUUAAUUCGAUGCAACGCGAAGAACCUUACCUACUCUUGACAUCCAGAGAACUUUCCAGAGAUGGAUUGGUGCCUUCGGGAACUCUGAGACAGGUGCU